UUUUUGGGAGACUCGAUGGCUGGUUGGUCACACUGACACCUGGAUUAAAAAUAGGAUCCCUGUACCCUUAUCCUCAGCAUCACUACCCCCACCAAUUGAGAGUCAGACAAUUGUCACGUGACCCAACCCGUCUUUAAAAAUUCUGGAGUUUGGAAUGUACGGAUACACUGGGAAAGAAUAGCUAUAGAAACAUUGACCCUUUCCAGCUUGCUUCUUCAGUUGCAGGUCCAUAUCUGAAGAUGUCUGACACAGAGGAAGUAAUUGAGGAGUAUGAGGAGCAGGAAG